rnacentral:tRNA from 1 species
GCCCGAGUGGCGGAACGGCAGACGCGGCGGUCUCAAAAACCGUUGGGGAAACCUGUGCGAGUUCAAAUCUCGCCUCGGGCACCA